GGUCCAAUGGCGCAACGGUAGCGCAGUGGUUUGCAGUGCCAAAGGUUUCUCGUUCGAAUCGGGAUUGGACCU